rnacentral:misc_RNA from 1 species
AAAGUCGUAACAAGGUCUCCGUAGGUGAACCUGCGGAGGGAUCAUUACACAAUAUCAAGGCGGGCUGGACCCCUCCGCACUGCCUCACGGCAUGGGGCGGCGGGGGCUGGCCUUGCUGCCAUAUUCACCCGUGUCUUUUGCGUACUUUUCGUUUCCUGGGCGGGCACGCCCGCCCCCAGGACAACCCACCAACCUUUUUGCAAUAGCAGUCAGCGUCAGUAACAAAACGUAAUUAUUACAACUUUCAACAACGGAUCUCUUGGUUCUG